AUUGAACGCUGGCGGCAUGCUUUACACAUGCAAGUCGAACGGCAGCGCGGGGCAACCUGGCGGCGAGUGGCGAACGGGUGAGUAAUAUAUCGGAACGUACCCAGAAGUGGGGGAUAACGUAGCGAAAGUUACGCUAAUACCGCAUACGAUCUACGGAUGAAAGUGGGGGACCUUCGGGCCUCAUGCUUGUGGAGCGGCCGAUAUCUGAUUAGCUAGUUGGUGAGGUAAAGGCUCACCAAGGCGACGAUCAGUAGCUGGUCUGAGAGGACGACCAGCCACACUGGGACUGAGACACGGCCCAGACUCCUACGGGAGGCAGCAGUGGGGAAUUUUGGACAAUGGGCGCAAGCCUGAUCCAGCAAUGCCGCGUGAGUGAAGAAGGCCUUCGGGUUGUAAAGCUCUUUUGUCAGGGAAGAAACGGCUUGGGCUAAUAUCCUGGGCUAAUGACGGUACCUGAAGAAUAAGCACCGGCUAACUACGUGCCAGCCGCCGCCGUAA
rnacentral:rRNA from 1 species